rnacentral:lncRNA from 1 species
GAAAAGGACCCUGAAGAAGAAAUCCAAAUACCUGGAAUCCUGUCUCUACCCUAGCAUUAAAGAAACAGCUCUUUAUUACUACUGAGCAACUUAAUCUCCUAUUAUCUUGGAUUUGUCCUUAUUUCUCUGCAUUCAGUUUCUUCUUCUCUACCUCUAAAGUACUAUGUCUUCACCUAUGCUCUCCAUACAGCAGUGACAGAAGGGGAAUUAAAGAGUUGGGUUUCCUCCCUCUCCCUCUCCCCACGGUCUCCCUCUCCCUCUCUUUCUACGGUCUCCCUCUGAUGCCUAGCGGAAGCUGGACUGUACUGCUGCCAUCUCGGCUCACUGCAACCUCCCUGUCUGAUUCUCCUGCCUCAGCCUGCCCAGUGCCUGUGAUUGCAGGCGCGCGCUGCCACGCCUGACUGGUUUUCAUAUUUUUUUGGUGGAGACGGGGUUUCGCUGUGUUGGCCGGGCUGGUCUCCAGCUCCUAACCGCGAGUGAUCUGCCAGCCUCGGCCUCCCGAGGUGCCGGGAUUGCAGACAGAGUCUCAUUCACUCAGUGCUCAAUGGUGCCCAGGCUGGAGUGCAGUGGCGUGAUCUCGGCUAGCUACAACCUCCACCUCCCAGCCGCCUGCCUUGGCCUCCCAAAGUGCCAAGAUUGCAGCCUCUGCCCGGACGCCACCCCAUCUGGGAAGUGAGGAGUGUCUCUGCCUGGCCGCCCAUCAUCUGGGAUGUGAGGAGCCCCUCUGCCCGACUGCCCAGUCUGGGAAGUGAAGAGCACCUCUUCCCGGCCGCCAUCCCAUCUAGGAAGUGAGGAGCGUCUCUGCCCGGCCGCCCAUCGUCUGAGAUGUGGGGAGCGCCUCUGCCCCGCCGCCCCGUCUGGGAUGUGAGGAGCGCCUCUGCCGGGCCGCGACCCCAUCUGGGAGAUGAGGAGCGUCUCUGCCCGGCCGCCCCAUCUGAGAAGUGAGGAGCCCCUCUGCCUGGCAGCCGCCCUGUCUGAGAAGUGAGGAGCCCCUCUGCCCGGCAGCCGACCCGUCUGAGAAGUGAGGAGCCUCUCCGCCUGGCAGCCGCCCCGUCUGAGAAGUGAGGAGCCCCUCCGCCCGGCAGCUGCCCUGUCUGGCCAUAGACUCUCCAACUCCUGCAACUGUCUGGAAUUUCUUCUCUCUCCAAUCCAUCUCUAGUAUUGAUGACAUAGAUACUGAGUUUACUACAAAUGGAAGGUUUGAGGCAACCUUGAUGGAGCAAGUGUAUGGGUGCCAUGUUUUUCCAACAUCAUGUGCUCACUUUGUGUCUCUGACAUAUUUUGUCUGGAACGGAACUAGCAAUAUCUCCAUGGAAUACCUGUAAUGAGCAGAUUUAACCUAAGAUGAGAAAAUAUUUCCACUGAAGUUUGAAAUUUAAGUACGUGUUAGCCAGGUAAAGUAGGGGGAAAAGUAUUUCAAGCAGAGGUUAAAGUCCCUGUGUUAAGGCUGUGAGGCCCAAGGGAAGGAGCUUUCCCUUUAAAAAGGACUGAAAGAAAGCAAAUGUGGUUUAAGCAUGGUUAGGGAGGAAAGAGGCCUGAAGGGGAGGGAAUCCUGGAGUGGGAUACAGAGGUAGGCAGGCAGAGUACAGAACAUUAGGGAUUUAUGGACUCAAGAUUUAUAUUCUCUGACACCAAAUUAGGAAAAAAAGAGGUCUCUAUUUUUGGCCAAGUUGUGUGUGUGUGUGUGUGUGUGUGUGUGUGUGUGUGUGUUUUAAACAGCUUUAUUGAGGUAUAAUUGUUUAUUACAAGGUGUUUAAGUAGGCUGGGCACGGUGGCUCACAUCUGUAAUCCCAGCACUUUGGGAGGCCAAGGCAGGUGGACCACCUGAGGUCAGUAGUUCCAGACCAGCCUGGCCAACAUGGUGAAACCCCAUCUCUACUAAAAAUACAAAAAUUAGCUGAGCAUGGUGCCAGGCACCUGUAAUCCCAGCGACUCAGGAGGCUGAGGCAGGAGAAUUGCUUGAACCUGGGAGGGGGAGGUUGCAAUGAGCCAAGAUCGUGCCACUGCACUCCAGCCUGAACAACAGAGCAAGACUCCAUCUCAAAAACAAAAACAAAAACAGAAAACAACAAGGUGUUUAAGCAAAUGUGGCAGCACCACAGGAUGGGGGGGGCAACAUAAACCCCUAAUUUACCUCCAUUUAAAAAAGGCUGAUAUGCAAAUUGAUAUCAAUCUUCCAUGAAGUGUAAAUAAAGGCAUCUUUAAAGAUCACAUUUUCAUUGACCUGUAACAUCAGUUUGUAUCACAUAAUGCUAACUUAGUUCCUGUCCCACCCCCACCUUUUACCUUCUAAGAACCUCCUAUAUCGAAAUCCUAUCUACUACAGAGUUUUGUGAUGCUAUUUGUCCAUUAGAAAGAUUCUUGGAACUGCUAAGUGGAGAAAGGAUUAUAGGAUGCAAGGUUGAUGUGGAUAGCUCAGUAGAAGGUUUUUGAAAAAGCAACAGUAGAGAUCAUGGCAGCUUGGACGCAGGACCUGGGCAGUGAAGAUGAUGAGCACAGCUCCAGGAAAUAUUUAGGAGAUUGACUGUAUACUUGAUGGUGGUUGAACCUGGGGCUAAGGGAGGGGUAGGAGUCAUAGGCAAUCAGGGUUUCUGGUUGGGACAAGUGGAUAGGUGGCAGUGCUACUGAUAAGAAAGGGGAUGUUAAGAGGAAGAGCAAAUUUACUGAUAGCAUGAUUUAAAUUUUGUUAGUCCACCUGAUCGAAAUGGUAAAUUAGUAGAGGUCUGCAAUCAGGAGAUAGAAACAAAUCUGGAGGUCACUGGCUGAUAGCUGCUAACUGAAGCUACAGGAGAGGAUGAAAUAGUCCAAGAAUAUUGUGACAUGAGAAAAGAAUGUUUAGGACUGAACUUUGAAGAACACUAGUAUGUACAGAUUAGGUAAAGGAAGAGAAGCCCACAAAAACAUUGAGGAGGAACAGCAUGAAGAUGGAAAGCAAGUUAACUGUGUCCUAAAUGCCUAGAGGUUUUCUUUUUCUUUUUUUUUUUUUUGAGACAGAGUCUCACUCUGUCACGCAGGCUGGAGUGCAGUGGUGCAAUCUGGGUUCACUACAAGCUCCGCCUCCCAGGUUCACGCCAUUCUCCUGCCUCAGCUUCCUGAGUAGCUGGGACUACAGGCGCCCACCACCACGCCAGGCUAAUUUUUUGUAUUUUUAGUAGAGAUGGGGUUUCACCGUCUUAGCCAGGAUGGUCUCGAUCUCCUGACCUUGUGAUCCGCCCGCCUCGGCCUCCCAAAGUGCUGGGAUUACAGGCAUGAGCCACCGCGCCCAGCCUGAGGUUUUCAAUUUUAGUGUCACUUAACAAUGUCACAUAUUGAGAAAAUUUAUUUGUUGCUUCCCUCUUCCCUCUCCCCUCUCCCCUCUCCCCACGGUCUCCCUCUCUUUCCACGGUCUCCCUCUGAUGCCGAGCCGAAGCUGGACUGUACUGCUGCCAUCUCGGCUCACUGCAACCUCCCUGCCUGAUUCUCCUGCCUCAGCCUGCCGAGUGCCUGCGAUUGCAGGAGCGCGCCGCCACGCCUGACUGGUUUUCGUAUUUUUUUGGUGGAGAAGGGGUUUCGCUGUGUUGGCCGGGCUGGUCUCCAGCUCCUAACCGCGAGUGAUCUGCCAGCCUCGGCCUCCCGAGGUGCCGGGAUUGCAGACGGAGUCUGGUUCACUCAGUGCUCAAUGGUGCCCAGGCUGGAGUGCAGUGGCGUGAUCUCGGCUCGCUACAACCUCCACCUCCCAGCCGCCUGCCUUGGCCUCCCAAAGUGCCGAGAUUGCAGCCUCUGCCUCGCCACCACCCCGUUUGGGAAGUGAGGAGCGUCUCUGCCUGGCCACCCAUCGUCUGGGACGUGAGGAGCCCCUCUGCCUGGCUGCCCAGUCUGGAAAGUGAGGAGCGUCUCUGCCCGGCCGCCAUCCCAUCUAGGAAGUGAGGAGCGCCUCUUCCCGGCCUCCCAUCGUCUGAGAUGUGGGGAGCGCCUCUGCCCCGCUGCCCCGUCUGGGAUGUGAGGAGCGCCUCUACCCGGCCGCGACCCCGUCUGGGAGGUGAGGAGCGUCUCUGCCCGGCUGCCCCGUCUGAGAAGUGAGGAGUCCCUCCGCCCGGCAGCUGCCCCGUCUGAGAAGUGAGGAGCCCCUCCGUCCGGCAGCCGCCCCGUCUGGGAAGUGAGGAGCCCCUCCGCCCGGCAGCCACCCCGUCUGGGAGGGAGGUGGGGGUCAGCCCCCCACCCGGCCAGCCGCCCCGCCCGGGAGGUGAGGGGCGCCUCUGCCCGGCUGCCCCUACUGGGAAGUGAGGAGCCCCUCUGCCCAGCCAGCCGCCCCGUCCGGGAGGGAGGUGGGGGGGUCAGCCCCCCGCCCGGCCAGCUGCCCCGUCCGGGAGGUGAGGGGCGCCUCUGCCCGGCCGCCCCUACUGGGAAGUGAGGAGCCCCUCUACCCGGCCACCACCCCGUCUGGGAGGUGUAUCGAACAGCUCAUUGAGAACAGGCCAUGAUGACAAUGGCGGUUUUGUGGAAUACAAAGGGGGGAAAGGUGGGGAAAAGAUUGAGAAAUCGGAUGGUUGCCGCGUCUGUGUAGAAAGAGGUAGACAUGGGAGACUUUUCAUUUUGUUCUGUACUAAGAAAAAUUCUUAUCCUGUUGAUCUGUGACCUUACCCCCAACCCUGUGCUCUCUGAAACAUGUGCUGUGUCCACUCAGAGUUAAAUGGAUUAAGGGCGGUGCAAGAUGUGCUUUGUUAAACAGAUGCUUGAAGGCAGCAUGCUCGUUAAGAGUCAUCACCACUCCCUAACCUCAAGGACCCAGGGACACAAACAUUGCGGAAGGCCGCAGGGUCCUCUGCCUAGGAAAGCCAUAGACCUUUGUUCACUUGUUUAUCUGCUGACCUUCCCUCCACUAUUGUCCUAUGACCCUGCCAAAUCCCCCUCUGCGAGAAACACCCAAGAAUGAUCAAUAAAAAAUAAAAAAAUAAUAAAAAAAAAAGAAAAAAAAGAAAAAAACAAUGUCACAUAUUGCCACAGGAUAAGCUAAGGAUGAAAUCUCUCCAGGACUUAGUGUCAUAGAGGUCAUUGGUGACUCUAGUGAGGGCCACUGUAUAUAGUGGGGGCAGGAGCCAUAGUGGGUUUUAAGCUCAAAUAGGAGGUAAGGACAUGGAAAACAUGGGAAGGCACUUGAGAAGUCUGACUAUGAAGCAGAGAUAGGACUGUGGUCAGAUACAAAUAUGAGAAGCAGAUUUCUUCUGAUGAGAAUGGUGUGUUCAACUGUCCAUGCAAAGAGCCAAUGGAGAAAGAGAGGAAAAAUACAGACCAAGUAACAACAGACUCCAUGAGAGAACGAGAGGAGAUAGGAUUGCAGCACAUGUUGAAUAACUGGCCUUUAAUAAGAGGAGGGAUUCUUCCUGUACAGGAAGAGGAGGGAUGAAGUGAAUGCAGAUGCAUUUGUGUACAUGGGUAUCAUGGUUUUUUUUUCCCCUGUGAAGUAAUCAGUUAGGGGGUGAAAGGGGCUUUAGAGGGAAAGGGGUUUGAAAUAGUUACAGAAGGAUUGAAGAGAAACACAUUAACAUUGUUGGCAGUACUGACAGCCUAACUCAAUGUGCUGAGCAUGAAUUUACAGUGAUAAAAAUCUACCAGAAACGACCUCCAGCUGCAAGGAUGCAGAAGCAGUGUUGGGUUCAUCCAGGGCUGGUAUUUUGCCAGGCUGACACAAUAGAGCAGCAGCAUACAUGAGCUUAAAUUAUUUACAUCUGCUGAAGUCUAGUCCGCCAAAGAUCACCAGGCUCAAGCCUGUCUUCUGACAAAACCAUUUAUUGAUUUGCAAGCAAGGGAACCAGAAGCAGCAAAGAUGGUGCAUUCCACAAGAGGGCAGGGGGUGCCAUCUUUGGUAAGGUUUGGGUUCCCAGUGUAGGGUUCUGAGCAAGCUAUAAGGGAAAGGAGACCAGUUCUGGGUUGGAUGCUAUUUCUGUAGCAAGAUUAGAUGUGAGAAUUAACUAGAGAUUGGUGCUGCAAUGAGGUGAGGGCAAGUUUAGCAACUGGAUAUCCCCAGUAGUAGAUGGGUUAUAGCAAAAUAGGUCUAAGGGUGUCACAGCCAACAAAGCAGUGGUCACAUGAGGGAGUCAUGAUGGUAUUUUAUAGCUGCUGCAGGACCUAACAGUUUCAUGUUAACUUUGCAGCUGCCUUGCCUGUCCCCCUGACAGUGGUGGAGCUUUUUUUUUCAGUUUGAGCCACUUUGAGUCCUAGAGUUUACUUUCAUACCAAACAUCCUCCUCUCAUUAAAUGUGAAUGAUUUUUCCCCCUAAAGUACAACUUAAUCCAUAUGCAUCUGUCCUCUCUAAAGAUUUAAUGAAAUACCUAAUUAUAGAAUUAAGCUUGCUUUCUGGCAAGACCCAGCCUAGAGUGAACGUUAAGUUUUAGACCAUCCCCUAAAUCACCAAAGCCCAAAUCCUACCACAGAUUCUAACACACUCUUACUGAUGCACCCCACAACUCCCACAAGGUGUAUGUUCUCCUUUACUGCAACAAUAAGCUCAGGCCGGGCGAGGUGGCUCACGCCUGUAAUCCCAGCACUUUGGGAGGCCGAGGUGGGCAGAUCAUCUGAGAUUGGGAGCUUGAGGCCAACCUGGCCAACAUGGCGAAACCCCGUCUCUACUAAAAAUACAAAAUUAGCCGGGCAUGGUGGUGCGUGCCUGUAAUCCCAGCUACUUGGGAGGCUGAGGCAGAAUUGCUUGAACCCGGGAGGCAGAGGUUGAGGUGAGCUGAGAUCACGCCACUGCACUCCAGCCUGGGCAACAAGAACAAUACUCUGCCUCAAAAAACAAACAAACAAACAAAAAAAAAAACAAAACCCAGUAAGCUCAACAUGUUCAGGUACAGUGUGUUCCUGGUAGUCUAUGGCUGGAGAGCAUUAACAACAUAAAGACAGAGGGUCAGAGUUGAUGACAACUUCUAGGUUAAGACCAAUAUUUGUGGUUUUUUUUUUUUUUUUGCCAGAACGCAAGACUAUAUUUACUAGCAGCUCUGUGUCCUUGCUCAUUGGAAAAUGAUCUUUCCUCAAGACUUGCUGACACGUUUCUGUUUAAGGCAUGACAAUCCUAAAGGCCAACAAUUGUGGACGGGGGCAACUCUUCCUUUCAUUAUGUACUGGUGUAGUCAAUUAUGCAAAGUCUGGUCAACCAAAGACCACCAGGCUCAAGCCAUCAGUUUUAAAAUAUGGCCACAUGCUCCUUGAUGGCCUAUGUGAUAUGGCUUUAGUAACUCCCUUAGGACCAAGAGAAUAUAAUGGAACUAAUGCUGUGUAACUUCCAAAUGCAGCUGCUUUCUGGGUCUUUUGAAAUGGCCCUUCAGAAUCCAGGCAACAUGCUGUGAGAAGUUCAAGCUACAUGGACAAGUGUAGAUGGUUCUGGUGAACGAUUCCAAUCUAGUCUUGGCUUUAAAAGUCAUCUCAGUACCAUGAAUUCAGAUGAUUAUAGCUCUCAGAUAUUCAAAUUACCCUCAGCCCUUAGUUUUCCUUGCCUAGGCCUCAGACAUCAUAGAAUAAAGCCAUCCCCAUUGUGCCCUCUCCAAGUUCCUGAACUAUAGAGUCCAUGAGCAUAAUAAAAUGAUUGUUUUAAGAUGCUAGAUUUCUGUGCUUUUUUUAUUAAGCAUAAUACCGGGAACAGAUAUUGAUCUUGUCGGUAGCUACUGUGAGUAGAGCAGUAGUUGGUGACAAUGAGCUAGUAGACAAAUACUGGACAGUUAUUCACAGAGCAGCUGCUAGAAGUUUCAAGUAUAUGCAGUUAGCAUUCCUUGUCCCUGGUCUAAUGUACCAUCUCUUCUCUACACCUCCUCUCCCUCCAAUAUUUAUAGUCAGUGCUAUCUUUAGAGAACUGCAGAUUAUGUUAAUAGCUGCCAUGUUACAGGAGCCAUUUUGAAAAACAUUUCUUACUACAACUUCCAAAAACCACAAUUACGUACAUUAUUUCCUUUAUAGAAGGAAUUUUAAAGUUUUAAUGUUUUAUAUUUGCUAGUUUU